GGUGAGUAUAUUUAACGGCCGCAGUACCCUGACUGUGCUAAGGUAGCGUAAUCAGUUGGCUUUUAAAUGGAGUCGAGAAUGAAGGGGUGAAUGGGGAGGUACUGUUUCUGUCCGAUAAAGCCGAAAUUACCUGAAGGGUGAAAAUGCCCUUAAACAGAAUAAAGACGAGAAGACCCUUAGAAUCUGGACGAAGCGGGCAGUGUUUAACCCUUAGUUUUUGUUGGGGCGACAACGAGGCAAGCGCGGCGAAAGCUUAACCCUCAUUACCUUACGCGCAGUACACGACAAGUUUGCUAAGAUAGAAUAGAUUACCUUAGGGAUAACAGCAUAAUUUUUUAAAGUUUGUGACCUCGAUGUUGGACUAGGGCCCCGACGACUAGCCGUCGUAACGGCGAGAUCUGUUCGAUCUUCUUACCCCU
rnacentral:rRNA from 1 species